GACGAACGCUGGCGGCGUGCUUAACACAUGCAAGUCGAACGGAAAGGCCCUGCUUUUGUGGGGUGCUCGAGUGGCGAACGGGUGAGUAACACGUGAGUAACCUGCCCUUGACUUUGGGAUAACUUCAGGAAACUGGGGCUAAUACCGGAUAGGAGCUCCUGCUGCAUGGUGGGGGUUGGAAAGUUUCGGCGGUUGGGGAUGGACUCGCGGCUUAUCAGCUUGUUGGUGGGGUAGUGGCUUACCAAGGCUUUGACGGGUAGCCGGCCUGAGAGGGUGACCGGCCAAAUUGGGACUGAGAUACGGCCCAGACUCCUACGGGGGGCAACAGUGGGGAAUAGUGCACAAUGGGCGGAAGCCUGAUGCAGCAACGCCGCGUGCGGGAUGACGGCCUUCGGGUUGUAAACCGCUUUCGCCUGUGACGAAGCGUGAGUGACGGUAAUGGGUAAAGAAGCACCGGCUAACUACGUG
rnacentral:rRNA from 1 species